rnacentral:rRNA from 1 species
AUACGUAGGUGGCAAGCGUUAUCCGGAUUUACUGGGCGUAAAGGGCGUGUAGGCGGUCUUGCAAGUCAGAAGUGAAAUUCCUGAGCUCAACUCGGGCGCUGCUUCUGAAACUGCAGGACUUGAGUGCUGGAGGGGAUAGCGGAAUUCCUAGUGGAGCGGUAAAAUGCGCAGAUAUUAGGAAGAACACCGGUGGCGAAGGCGGCUAGCUGGACAGUAACUGACGCUGAGGCGCGAAAGCGUGGGGAGCAAACAGGAUUAGAUACCCGGGUAGUCCACGCCGUAAACGAUGAAUACUAGGUGUAGGGGGUAUCGACUCCCUCUGUGCCGCAGUUAACACAAUAAGUAUUCCGCCUGGGGAGUACGGCCGCAAGGUUGAAACUCAAAGGAAUUGGCGGGG